rnacentral:rRNA from 1 species
UGCCAGCAGCCGCGGUAAUACGGAGGGAGCGAGCGUUAAUCGGAAUUACUGGGCGUAAAGCGCGCGUAGGCGGCUUUGUAAGUCGGAUGUGAAAGCCCUGGGCUCAACCUGGGAAUGGCAUUCGAUACUGCAGAGCUAGAGUAUGGUAGAGGGAAGUGGAAUUUCCGGUGUAGCGGUGAAAUGCGUAGAUAUCGGAAGGAACACCGGUGGCGAAGGCGGCUCACUGGCUCGAUACUGACGCGAGGUGCGAAAGCGUGGGGAGAAAACAGGAUUAGAUA